rnacentral:rRNA from 1 species
UACGUAGGGGGCAAGCGUUGUCCGGAAUCAUUGGGCGUAAAGAGCGUGUAGGCGGCUUGGUAAGUCCGCUGUGAAAGUCCAGGGCUCAACCCUGGAAUGCCGGUGGAUACUGUCGGGCUAGAGUCCGGAAGGGGCGAGUGGAAUUCCUGGUGUAGCGGUGAAAUGCGCAGAUAUCAGGAGGAACACCAAUGGCGAAGGCAGCUCGCUGGGACGUGACUGACGCUGAGACGCGAAAGCGUGGGGAGCAAACAGG